rnacentral:lncRNA from 1 species
UUGUGCACUAUUUUACAUAAUAAAUUCUCAAUAUAUGAGUCUAAAAUAUUCGGUGUAAAAUUUCUAAAUUAGUAACAUCGAUACAAAUUUUAUUUUAAGUGUUACAACUGUAAAAUAAUUUUAGACUCAAUUUUAUUAAUUCAGACGUCUAAUAUGUUAUAUUCUUGAACUUAAAAAUCAAUAUCAAUUCUAUGUUGCCUUAUUGUUAUGCCCACUUGUAAAUUUUAAGGUAAAUUAAAUUGUAACAUCCUUGUAUUGAUUUAUUAAAAUAGAGUUUUAUAAUCUGAUAUAACGGUU